rnacentral:rRNA from 1 species
AGUGGGGAAUAUUGGACAAUGGGCGCAAGCCUGAUCCAGCCAUGCCGCGUGUGUGAAGAAGGCCUUCGGGUUGUAAAGCACUUUUGUUGGGGAAGAAAAGCCCUCGGUUAAUACCCGGGUGUUCUGACGGUACCCAAAGAAUAAGCACCGGCUAACUUCGUGCCAGCAGCCGCGGUAAUACGAAGGGUGCAAGCGUUACUCGGAAUUACUGGGCGUAAAGCGUGCGUAGGUGGUUCGUUAAGUCUGUCGUGAAAGCCCCGGGCUCAACCUGGGAAUGGCGAUGGAUACUGGCGGGCUAGAGUGCGGUAGAGGAGAGUGGAAUUCCCGGUGUAGCAGUGAAAUGCGUAGAGAUCGGGAGGAACAUCAGUUGCGAAGGCGGCUCUCUGGACCAGCACUGACACUGAGGCACGAAAGCGUGGGGAGCAAA